rnacentral:rRNA from 1 species
AAUCAUGGCUCAGGAUGAACGCUGGCGGCGUGCUUAACACAUGCAAGUCGAACGAAGCAUUUGCGACAGAUUUUUUUCGGAAUGAAGUUGCUUAUGACUGAGUGGCGGACGGGUGAGUAACGCGUGGGUAACCUGCCUUGUACUGGGGGAGUAGCAGCUGGAAACGGCUGGUAAUACCGCAUAAGCGCACAAUGUUGCAUGACAUGGUGUGAAAAACUACCGGUGGGUAUAAGAAUGGACCCGG